ACCCUUUUAGGAAAACCCUAUAUCAGAUCUCCGCGGUCCAUUCCACUCCAACUCCCUCAUCAGAAACACCAUCGCCGUCCAAUCCCUCCAAGUCCACCAUUCGUUAUCCUUCCUUUCUCUGUCCUCGCCUCUCCCUCUUAUUCCCUCUCUCUCCUCUCAGAUAUUUCUGUCCCCCGUUGCCGUCAUCGCCAGCUCGCCCCCAAAACCCUAAUCCCCUUCCCUUCUCCAUCCCUAUUCUCGGAAGAAGAAACGAAAUCCCCUUCGAUUUCGAUCUCUCUAUAGAGAGGAGAAGGGAGCAGAGAAGAGGGAGCGAUGGAUUCGGAUCAGGGGAAGCUGUUCAUCGGGGGGAUAUCGUGGGAGACGACGGAGGAGAAGAUGAAGGAGUACUUCUCCAAGUACGGGGAGGUGCUGCAGACGGUGAUCAUGAGGGACAAGAUGACGGGCCGGCCCCGGGGUUUCGGCUUCGUCGUCUUUGCCGAUCCUUCCAUCCUCGACCGCGUCCUCCAGGACAGUCACACCAUCGACGGCCGGACGGUGGAAGCAAAAAGGGCUCUCUCAAGAGAGGAACAGCAGGCAUCCAAAUCUGGAAACCCUGCUGUUGGCAGAACUGGAGGAGGACAUGUUAGUGGCGGUAACUUUAGGACUAAGAAGAUAUUUGUAGGAGGGUUGCCCCCAACUUUGACAGAAGAAGCAUUUCGUCAGUACUUUCAGGGUUAUGGAGAUGUGACUGAUGUUGUGGUUAUGUAUGACCAAAACACCCAGCGCCCCCGAGGGUUUGGUUUUAUCUCUUUCAGUUCAGAAGAUGCUGUUGAUCGAGUGCUCCACAAGACUUUCCAUGAGCUCAAUGGCAAACUUGUGGAGGUCAAGCGGGCACUCCCAAAGGAUGCAAACCCUAGUGGCGGCGGCGGCGGCGGCGGCGGCGGCCGUCCAAAUGCUGGAGGGCCCUAUCAAACCAACAGUGCUUCUGGUGUCAAUAUGAGUUCCUAUGAUGCUAGAGCUGAUACUGGUAGGUAUAUGCAACCAGCAGCAGCUGGUGGUGGUUACCCAGCAUAUGGUUCAACAGGCUAUGGUACACCUGGAUAUGGGUAUGGAGCAGCAAAUAAUGGUGUAGGAUAUGGAGGUUAUGGUGUUGGAGGCUAUGGAAGUGCUACAGCAGGAUAUGGAGGACCUGCUGGAGCCUAUGGAAAUCCAAAUGCCCCAGCUGCCGGUUAUGCAGGCGGUCCACCAGGUGCACCUCGAAGCCCUUGGAGCAGCCAAGCUCCAUCUGCUUAUGGCUCAGCAAGCUAUGGUGCAAAUUCAGGCUACGGGGCGCCGGCUUCAUGGAAUGCAGCAGGUGGUGGGGGGGCUGCUGCCCCACCCACUGGUCAGUCUCCUAGUGGGACUGGGUACGGGAAUCAGGGAUAUGGGUAUGGCGGAUACGGUGGGGCUGAAGUCUCUUACGGCAGUCAAGGUGGCUAUGGGGCUGUCGGUGCACGUGGCAGUGGUGGCCCACCUACCAAUCCCACUGGUGGCCUGGGAGAACAAGGGGCUGGUUCUGGCUACAUGGGUGGCGGCUAUGGUGAUGCAAGUGGUGGCUCUGGUUAUCCAAAUUCUUGGAGGGCUGAUCCUUCUCAAGGAAUUGGUUAUGGAACUAGCCAAGUGAAUGGGCCUCCUGGUGGGCCAGCUGGUUAUGGUGGUGCCUAUGGUGGUGCUCAGUCAAGGCAGGCUCAGCAGCAGUAAUCAUGAUGGUGGGAUCAUAAUUCCACCUGGGAAUUCAGGCUCAAGAGUUGGUUCUUGAAUUUUGUCACGUGGCCUGCAUCACUUGGUUUUCUUGCCUGCUGUGAGGACUGGCUGUUGCCGAGGAAAGCAGUUUUCUGGGUCUGGGGCUGCCGCUCUUGUUCUCUUUCCUCUCCACCAACAUUGAAGCCUUUCACCAGGUGAGGUUAUAAAGCACUGAGGAACCUCUAAGUCGAGCGCAGGAGGAUGCUCCCAAAUCUGCUAAUUUGUUUUUAUUCAUCACAUUGGAAGUGGCUCUUGACUAAAUCGAUUGUUGAAGGGUGUUGCCUUGCAUGCCACAGCAGGUGGUUUUUUGAAAUGGAUGAUCCCAUCUCUUUCAUUACCUGUUCGGCGGCCUCAUUCAUUUUUGCUGCUUUAUACUGCAAUAUUUCUUUGAAGAUUAUCUUAGGGUAGGUCAAUGAGACUUGUGAAAUAAAUGAUUGAAAUUUAAUUAUGCAAAUCUUGUCUUAGUAGGCUUGAAAACCUGGAAACUUUUUCAGUUUUCAUAUACUCACAAAAGAGAGGUGGUUCGUGAGG